rnacentral:rRNA from 1 species
AAUCCUGGCUCGGGACGAACGCUGGCGGCGCGCCUAACACAUGCAAGUCGAACGAGCGAGAGAGAGCUUGCUUUCUCGAGCGAGUGGCGAACGGGUGAGUAACGCGUGAGGAACCUGCCUCAAAGAGGGGGACAACAGUUGGAAACGACUGCUAAUACCGCAUAAGCCCACGGGUCGGCAUCGACCAGAGGGAAAAGGAGCAAUCCGCUUUGAGAUGGCCUCGCGUCCGAUUAGCUAGUUGGUGAGG